GUGAAAAGGCCUGAGAGUCCUUAAGUCCUAAAUCCUGACACAAGGGAUGAAGGGGUCGCGGAGUUGCCAGAUUCUCGUGACCAAUGAACCUAUGGAAAUCUGCUUUGAACUCCCGUCUACUAUUCAUUCAAGAGGGAUUCCCUGGUGGCCGUGGAUUCCGGGGGAACACCCUGAACCAUGGGGGAGAGGAAUACAGAAGCACACAUAUUGACUCCCUAGUCUUUGAAGUUCGACCCAGAGGCUAAGAGAGUCUGCAGAACUCAGUACCAAGCAACAGCAGGUGCCAACCUGUGGCCAUCAUAUCAUCGUGGGUGUGCCAUCAGAAAGAAGUGAAUGAGUAAAGGGUUUCUUGAUGAA